GCCGAACGCUGGCGGCGUGCCUAAUACAUGCAAGUCGAACUCAGUGGGGCCGGGUGAUUAACACGUGGGUAACCUCCCAUCAGAGGGGUUAACACUUGGAAACAGGUGCUAAACCGAUACCGCUGGAUGGACCCGCGGUGCAUUCGCUUGUUGGUGAGGUAACGGCUCACCAAGGCCACGAUGCAUAGCCGACCGGAGAGGGUGAUCGACCACAAUGGGACAGAGACACGGCCCAGACGCCUAAGGAAGACAGCAGUAGGGAAUUAUAGGCAAUAGACGAAAGUCUGACAGAGCAAAGCGGCGGGAGUGAAGGUGGUUAUCGGAUCGUAAAACUCGGUGGUAAGAGAAGCGGUAUCUAACCAGGAAACCGCGGCUAACUACGGGCCGGCAGCCGCGGUAAUUC
rnacentral:rRNA from 1 species